rnacentral:rRNA from 1 species
GACGUAGGGCGCAAGCGUUGUCCGGAUUUAUUGGGCGUAAAGAGCGUGUAGGCGGCCCGGUAAGUCCGCUGUGAAAGUCGGGGGCUCAACCCUCGGAUGCCGGUGGAUACUGUCGGGCUCGAGUACGGAAGAGGCGAGUGGAAUUCCUGGUGUAGCGGUGAAAUGCGCAGAUAUCAGGAGGAACACCUAUUGCGAAGGCAGCUCGCUGGGACGUUACUGACGCUGAGACGCGAAAGCGUGGGGAGCAAACAGG